GGGACGGCGUGUGUGUGUGUGUGUGUGUGUGUGUGUGUGUGUGUGUGUGUGUGUGUCGCACGCCUUCCAGAAGACACACAACAAAUGCACAGG
rnacentral:miRNA from 1 species